GGGAUUGUGACUCAGUGGUAGAGUGCUCAUUUAGCAUAUGUGAGGCACUAGGUUUGAUCCUUAGCACUACAU
rnacentral:tRNA from 1 species